rnacentral:rRNA from 1 species
GACGAACGCUGGCGGCGUGCCUAAUACAUGCAAGUAGAACGCUGAAGAGAGGAGCUUGCUCUUCUUGGAUGAGUUGCGAACGGGUGAGUAACGCGUAGGUAACCUGCCUUGUAGCGGGGGAUAACUAUUGGAAACGAUAGCUAAUACCGCAUAACAAUGGAUGAAACAUGUCAUUUAUUUGAAAGGGGCAAUUGCUCCACUACAAGAUGGACCUGCGUUGUAUUAGCUAGUAGGUGAGGUAAUGGCUCACCUAGGCGACGAUACAUAGCCGACCUGAGAGGGUGAGCGGCCACACUGGGACUGGGACACGGCCCAGAAUCCUACGGGAGGCAGCAGUAGGGAACCUUCGGCAAUGGGGGCAACCCUGACCGAGCAACGACGCGUGAGUGCAGAAGGUUGUCGGAUCGUAAAGCUCUGUUGUAAGUCAAGAACGGGUGUGAGAGUGGAAAGUUCACACUGUGACGGUAGCUUACCAGAAAGGGACGGCUAACUACGUG